rnacentral:rRNA from 1 species
GCAGCCACCUUUUGAAACGCGUCAAAGCGUAACUUUAACACCCAAAAUACCAUUAAUUUUUAUGAACCCCUAAUUUAUAAUGAAUGACUCCAUAUUUAUAUGGAAGACACCAUGCUAGGAUUAGUAACAAGAAUUUAUAAUUCUCCAAAAUGCAAAUAUAAACCAACAUGGAUAGACCAUUGGUAGUUACCGAACCUAAAUUUAAUGCAAUAACAUCCACAAGAAAACUCUGCAGCACUCACUCGUUAACCUAACACCAGCGCAUUACAGGAAAGAUUCAAAAAAAGAGAAGGAAUUCGGCAAAUGACGGCCCCGCCUGUUUACCAAAAACAUCGCCUCUUGACUUAUAAUAAGAGGUCUAGCCUGCCCAGUGAAUUUUAAACGGCCGCGGUAUCCUAACCGCGCGAAGGUAGCAUAAUCACUUGUUCUUUAAAUGGGGACUCGUAUCAACGGCAUCACGAGGGUUUUACUGUCUCCUCUUUUUGAUCAGUGAAAUUGAUCUUCCCGUGAAGAAGCGGGAAUAUUUUUAUAAGACGAGAAGACCCCAUGGAGCUUUAAACCAAAUAACAACUUAACCACUUAUCCCAUAAUAAAUUUAACCCCUGUUAUAAGGUUUUUGGUUGGGGUGACCGCGGAGUAAAGCACAUCCUCCACGACGGAAAGAAUAAAAUCUUUAUUUAAGAACCACACUUCUAGAAAUUAGUAUACUAACGUUUACUGACCCGACAAUCGAUCAACGGACCAAGUUACCCUGGGGAUAACAGCGCAAUCUACUUCGAGAGCUCAUAUCGACAAGUAGGCUUACGACCUCGAUGUUGGAUCAGGGUAUCCCGGUGGUGCAGCCGCUACCGAAGGUUCGUUUGUUCAACGAUUAAAACCCUACGUGAUCU